UGGGGAAUUUUGGACAAUGGGCGCAAGCCUGAUCCAGCCAUGCCGCGUGCGGGAAGAAGGCCUUCGGGUUGUAAACCGCUUUUGUCAGGGAAGAAACGCUCUGGGCUAAUACCCUGGGGUAAUGACGGUACCUGAAGAAUAAGCACCGGCUAACUACGUGCCAGCAGCCGCGGUAAUACGUAGGGUGCAAGCGUUAAUCGGAAUUACUGGGCGUAAAGCGUGCGCAGGCGGUUAUGCAAGACAGAUGUGAAAUCCCCGGGCUCAACCUGGGAACUGCAUUUGUGACUGUAUAGCUAGAGUACGGUAGAGGGGGAUGGAAUUCCGCGUGUAGCAGUGAAAUGCGUAGAUAUGCGGAGGAACACCGAUGGCGAAGGCAAUCCCCUGGACCUGUACUGACGCUCAUGCACGAAAGCGUGGGGAGCAAACAGGAUUAGAUACCCAUGUAGUGCCUGAGCGGGCUGGCAAGGCGC
rnacentral:rRNA from 1 species